UACAGGGGGUGCAAACGUUGCUCGGAAUCAUUGGGCGUAAAGCGCACGUAGGCGGUUCGUUAUGUCGGAUGUGAAAGCCCUUGGCUUAACCGAGGAAGUGCAUCCGAAACUGGCGAGCUAGAGUACUAAAGAGGAUCGCGGAAUUCCCGGUGUGGAGGUGAAAUUCGUAGAUAUCGGGAGGAACACCGGUGGCGAAGGCGGCGAUCUGGCGGUGCACUGACGCUGAGGCGCGAAAGCGUGGGGAGCAAACAGG
rnacentral:rRNA from 1 species